GACGGAGGAUGCAAGUGUUAUCCGGAAUCACUGGGCGUAAAGCGUCUGUAGGUGGUUCAAUAAGUCAACUGUUAAAUCUUGAGGCUCAACUUCAAAAAUCGCAGUCGAAACUAUUGGACUCGAGUAUAGUAGGGGUAAAGGGAAUUUCCAGUGGAGCGGUGAAAUGCGUAGAGAUCGGAAAGAACACCAACGGCGAAAGCACUCUGCUGGGCCGACACUGACACUGAGAGACGAAAGCUAGGGGAGCGAAUGGG
rnacentral:rRNA from 1 species